UACGGAGGGUGCGAGCGUUAAUCGGAAUUACUGGGCGUAAAGCGCGCGUAGGCGGCUUGAUAAGCCGGUUGUGAAAGCCCCGGGCUCAACCUGGGAACGGCGUCCGGAACUGUCAGGCUAGAGUGCAGGAGAGGACGGUAGAAUUCUCGGUGUAGCGGUGAAAUGCGUAGAGCUCGGGAGGAAUACCAGUGGCGAAGGCGGCCUUCUGGACUGACACUGACGCUGAGGUGCGAAAGCGGGGGUAGCAAACAGG
rnacentral:misc_RNA from 1 species